rnacentral:misc_RNA from 1 species
ACCUACUGUUUAAUUUUGAGGGUUCGUUUUUACGAAUACUCAAAAUUAGCACUUUUAGCACUCUGAAAACUGCAUAUAUAUUUAGUGAUAUGACAUCUAAUUUGUAAUAUAUAAAACUGAUAACUUUUUAAAAUUAUCGAAGUUGAUAGCUUCUAAUCUAUCAAACCUUUUUAACUGGUCAA